CAGCAAAACACUUACUGACCACAUGAUCAUCAUAAAAACAGUGCAAUGCGUCAAUCUGAAGCUAAGCAGAGCUGUGCCCAGUCAGUACCUGGAUGGGAGAUAACAUGAGAAAGCUAAGUUGCUGC
rnacentral:rRNA from 1 species